GAUGAAGAACGUAGCGAAAUGCGAUACGUAAUGUGAAUUGCAGAAUUCAGUGAAUCAUCGAGUCUUUGAACGCACAUUGCGCCCCCUGGUAUUCCGGGGGGCAUGCCUGUCCGAGCGUCAUUGCUGCCCUCAAGCACGGCUUGUGUGUUGGGCCUCCGUCCUCCUCCCGGGGGACGGGCCCGAAAGGCAGCGGCGGCACCGCGUCCGGUCCUCGAGCGUAUGGGGCUUUGUCACCCGCUCUUGUAGGCCCGGCCGGCGCCAGCCGACAACCCAUCAUCCUUUUCAGGUUGACCUCGGAUCAGGUAGGGAUACCCGCUGAACUUAAGCAUAUCAAUAAGCGGAGGA
rnacentral:misc_RNA from 1 species